UACGGUAGGCAGCAAGCGUUGUUCGGAGUUACUGGGCGUAAAGGGUGUGUAGGCGGUUCUUUAAGUUUGGUGUGAAAUCUCCCGGCUCAACCGGGAGGGUGCGCCGAAUACUGAGGGACUAGAGUGCGGGAGAGGAAAGUGGAAUUCCUGGUGUAGCGGUGAAAUGCGUAGAUAUCAGGAGGAACACCGGUGGUGUAGACGGCUUUCUGGACCGUAACUGACGCUGAAACACGAAAGCGUGGGUAGCAAACAGG
rnacentral:rRNA from 1 species